CAGUCGCCACGGUAAUACAGAGGGUGCGAGCGUUAAUCGGAUUUACUGGGCGUAAAGCGUGCGUAGGCGGCUUUUUAAGUCGGAUGUGAAAUCCCUGAGCUUAACUUAGGAAUUGCAUUCGAUACUGGGAAGCUAGAGUAUGGGAGAGGAUGGUAGAAUUCCAGGUGUAGCGGUGAAAUGCGUAGAGAUCUGGAGGAAUACCGAUGGCGAAGGCAGCCAUCUGGCCUAAUUCUGACGCUGAGGUACGAAAGCAUGGGGAGCAAACAGGAUUAGAUACCCCAGUAGUCCCUGUCUCUUAUAC
rnacentral:rRNA from 1 species